rnacentral:rRNA from 1 species
CCUACGGGUGGCUGCAGUGGGGAAUAUUGGACAAUGGGCGAAAGCCUGAUCCAGCCAUGCCGCGUGUGUGAAGAAGGCCUUCGGGUUGUAAAGCACUUUCAGUGGGGAAGAAAGCCUUGGGGCUAAUACCCUCGAGGAAGGACAUCACCCACAGAAGAAGCACCGGCUAACUCCGUGCCAGCAGCCGCGGUAAUACGGAGGGUGCGAGCGUUAAUCGGAAUUACUGGGCGUAAAGCGCGCGUAGGCGGUCUGAUAAGCCGGUUGUGAAAGCCCCGGGCUCAACCUGGGAACGGCAUCCGGAACUGUCAGGCUAGAGUGCAAGAGAGGAAGGUAGAAUUCCCGGUGUAGCGGUGAAAUGCGUAGAGAUCGGGAGGAAUACCAGUGGCGAAGGCGGCCUUCUGGACUGACACUGACGCUGAGGUUCGAAAGCGUGGGUAGCAAACAGGAUUAGAUACCCCGGUAGUC